rnacentral:lncRNA from 1 species
GGAAGAUCUGAUCCCUAUCCACUAAUCGGUAAUAAGAACUGUAUUUUUGUUUGUUACAGUCCUAUCAGCGUUUGGUCAUCCCCUAGGAUUCACCAUCUCAGGAGCAGAGCUGGAGAGUAAAGGCAGCUGAAGUUGAAGACUAAAUCCUAGUGUUACAAUGAAGGACCUGAUUCGGGUUAUUUCCAAGUGUGUUGUCCAGCCCAUCAUCCCUUCUCAGGUCCCACCAUGGCCUUCUCAAAGGCCCUUCAUCUCCAACACACUAUUGGAACGUUCCUCUUCAUUCUCUUCGGUGGUUUAGCCUGGGUCACCAUUGUUCUAUCCAAUCUACCCAGCGAGGACCAUCAAUAGUGAACGCAAUUUGGUCUCUGCAGCCAGGACCAAAGCCAGCCACAGGGAACCACAGGGAGUGGAAUCAGUGCGGUUCCACUGCUCAUAGGAGGAGAGGUGGAUUCCAGAUGGCCACGCAGCGUG